GCCGGAGUGGCGAAAUUGGUAAACGCAGUGGACUCAAAAUCCACCGAGGGCAACCUCCUGCCGGUUCGAGUCCGGCCUCCGGUACCA
rnacentral:tRNA from 1 species